AAAUACCAUAACCUUGCUGGAGGGACAUACUUCCCAGCCUAUUUUCUCCUAGCCAGAGGCAUCUCCUGUCCUUUGAGACAAAACUACUCCCGUCACAGCACUGACUUCCCUUCAGAAACAAGACACUGUGUUAUUCUCCUAAUAAUCCCCCUUCACUGCUGGAGCCGUGGUCCAUCCAGAGUAUGUCUGUCCCAGGACCGAGGGAUAAGGUAAGGAACAAGACAAAGAUGUCUACCCUCAUCAUGUCUCUUUCACAUUGUUCUGGAGGUGCUGGUCAGUGCAAUAAGGCAAGGAAGACUGGAAAGGAAGAAACACAACUGUCUCGUUCACAAAUGGGGUUGUAUGUGAAAAAACCUAAGGAAUCCACAAAAAAGCUCUGGAGGCUGGGAGUCCAAGAUCAAGGUGUCGUCAGGAUUGACGUCCGGUGAGAGCCCUCCUCUGGGCUUGCACACGGCCACUUUCUCACCCUGUCCUCCCAUGGCCUCUCUUCCGUGCACGCCAAACUAAUGCGUGUGACGUGUUCAUUUGUUUUUUUCACUUUUCUGUUUCAUUUGAAAAAGCUGUAAUGAAUCUAUAUACUUUUUAUCCAGUCAUAGAAUAAAACAAAUCCAAUC